rnacentral:lncRNA from 1 species
GGAGUAAUGUCCACAGUGAAAUGGUGGUUGUACAGUUGGUGAACAGCCCACAGAGAGGAUGCUGGAGCUGUGGCUAAGUGGGAAAUAUUGGCCCCUGGGGUUGCCAAUGCUGAAAGAGCCGCUGCUCGGCUGCGCCGCGCCCUCGCGGAUCUAGGAGUCCAAUUUAAGCCGGCGGAGUUGGCGGAGCGGAGGCGCUGCGGCGGCGGCAGACUCGGCGCGGCUCGGGCACCUCUCUUCCUUAUCUCUUACUCAAACUUCUCUGCUCCAACUCAGCUCCAUCGCCAUUGGUCUGACGCAGCGCGCGGGGACGUCAGGCGAGCGCCGCGCCCAUUGGCUGCAGGGCGCGCGGCGCAGCUGUUCUGAUUAUCAUAUUUCAGCCUCGCCGCCGCUGAGCGCCACUGACCGCUCGGCGAGCCAGCGGGAGAGGAUUAGGGCUCCCGAGGCAACUUGCUCGGGGCUCAGGCCGUUCUCCCCCGAAGCUCGGGCUGCCGGGCUGUUCUGGCUCUGGCCUCCCUCUCCUCCUCUUCCUCUUCCUUCUGUCCCCUCCCGCGUUCCUUCCCGGCCGCGCCGCCUGCGCCCUCGCCUCCUGUGGCGCUGCUCCUCCGCCCUGCGCUCCUGGGGUCCCCGCAGUCCGGCUGGCCGCGUUGCGCGCGGGGCUCACUUUCUGCCGCCGGUGGCGAGUGGCUGAACUCCUAAGUGACCAGGAACAGACGAUUUUUAACCGAGUUCUGCUGCGUGGAGCCCAGGUUGGCGCUAGUGAGUGCAGUGUGCUGACCCAAGUGGUGGUGGCCCAAGGACGCGCUGACCCGUACAUUUGGCAAAGCUUUCAUUAAAUGUAUCAGAUUCUCGCGGAAGUGGUUGCAGUCCGGAGAGUGAAACAGCUAUCUCUCAAGUCCUGACCGGUUCAGCUGAAAUCUACAUUUGCACUGAAUCUGGCAAAACACGGACGGGUCCGCCCGAGAUCUCAGGAAACCCAGAGCAAGUUACCUCCAUGUAGUUGAUCAUUCUUUCUGAAAGGACGGACACCAUUUACCCCACUGCAAUCCUGUCCAACGGGCAGCUCUGAGUUUAGCUUUAGCGCCAAAGGAUUGAUUUCCCCCACCCGCUGGAGAUUUACUGGGGACGAGCGGGGGAGGGGAGGCGAAGGUACCUCGGAGGAGGUCAAGUGGGGGAGGAGGAGGAGCAGCAGAAAAUUACCAGCCAAGCAGGGGAGGGAGUUGGAAGCCCGGAAAUAUACCAGGAUGCCUCAAGUAACCUUCCUUUAAGUCUCAGAAUUCAGCCCUCGGAAAACAGCCUCAUAAGGUGUCCUGGGAAGGAGUCCUCGGGUGGGCUGCGGAGGUGAUGUCAAGAGUUACAGCUACUUUAUGAAUUAAACUGACGGCUAAGGCAUGUCGGGACAGUUUAGUGUAAGCUGAAUGGUGCGUGGACGGGGCAACUUUUAAAGAGAGGUGGGCAAUCAUUGGUGGCAUCUACCAGUAUAUUCUGCAUGUAACAGUAGUUUGGAAGCUGAAGAAAAACCCCUCAAAUCCCAGUAAAUGCCCGGUCAGUUCGAGAGAGAUUUUAGGGACAAUUUUGAAGGUCGCUGUCUGCUCCAACUCCGCAGAGAUGAACAAGAGUGUGAACUCUGGCGCGGGUGUGUUUAGAAUUAUCUACGACUUCAGAUCCAUGCUGUUGAAACUCAUCAAUUCUUUGUGACUUCACGUGGAGAGAAGAAUUUGCCCUGCCUCCCUACCUGCUAAAUGCCGACUGAGAAAAGGGGCCCAGGAGACGACCCCUUUCAGAAAGAACGUCACUUCAUCAACUCGGCUGAGUUAUUAACUUGCUCCCCGAAAGGUCAACAACGCCUUCUCUUCUCAGCCGCACCGCGCGGAGAUCAAUCGCUUUACCCUAGGUAGCCUCUUGUUCAGGGCUCAGGAACUCCUGUCUUAAGGUCCUUCUGGGGCUCAGAAGCUGUGUUGUGUAUGUUCUUUCCAAGAAUCCCACCUGUCUGCUUUCAAGCACACACGGCGCUAGAAAUUUAGCCUAGCCUGAGUCCUGGGAUGAGAGAAGAGCUAAACAAAGAGACCCCAACCGUCCCCUUGGCCCCCUGCCCCGCCGUUUUGCAGUUUGCCAACCUUCUAGCUAGACAGCCCCCUAAGUCUCCGUGUUGCGAGUGAAAGAGAAUUUUUCUAUUUCAUCUUCCCAUUGACCGAAGCAGAAAAAUUGAACCGAAUCUACGCCCCUUGUUCUGAUUCCUGCUAGAGGAAAACAGAAAAUCAUCCCGCAGGUCUCUUUCAGUCCCUGGAUGGCGAGCGCAGCCCCUGGGAGGCCACACUUAGUUCUUUAUUGUGAAUCUCUCGCUACUCAAGUUCGUUCGGGACCAGGGCCUCGGAUGGCCUCGGUUGCCCGUAAGUACGCGAAAGAAGAGGUGAAUCCAAUCGCUGGCCUAGAGGAUAGUGAUCAGACAACCCGAGGAUUACUAAACAAGGGGCGGCGGUGUCCCUGUCUCAUGGGGUUGGCGUGGGGCGGGGGGUAGGCAGCAAGAUCCUCCAGGCUCCUGGAUGCAAAGAGUGAGAAAGAAAGCGCAGCCUCUGGCAGCCUGCUUAUAAAUGCAGCCUUUCGGAAGAUGAAACUUGCAGUCUUAGGUUGUCCUCCUUUAUAUCCAUGUUCCAAUCCUCUGGGCUUU